AGCAUUCUAGGCUCAGCCAUGGCGCUGAUCGUCUGGUUAAUUGCUCUGCUGUGUGUUGUGUCGUCUGCUACAUCGUCUUGUGAUACCCCAGUGAUGCUCAGUGAAAAUUCCACAAAAUUCCCCUUUAGGACGGAACCAUUGCAUAUACAUUGCAACGCUUCUUCUUAUGAUCAAAUAAACUGGUACCACGUACCUCAUGGAACAACGGACCUUAAUCCUUACCAGUUUAGUUGGUGUACACCCAACACAUGCAGGCUACGUGGAAACUCCACGACACUCAUUAUGAGAGAAAUCAGCAUGGAGCUGAAAGACAGCAAAAUCAUCUGUGUAGCAUCAUGCUCUGCGACCGGGAAAAAUGCUACAGCCUAUACCACAGUUUCGGUUAAAAGUAUAUACAAUGUAUAGAGUUAUGAAAUUCAUAUAUACCAAUAUAUUUUUUUCUCCGAAAUUAUAUAUAUGCCUGCUGAUUAUUAAAUUAUUUAAUUUAGAAUGUGUUCUUAAUAAGCCAAUCCUCAAACCAGUACAAAAUGUUACCACCAGCCUCGGAGAAACAGCAAAUCUCACGUGUAAGGCAGAGAUGGGGGCCUGUUAUAACCUGACUUUUCCAAAUUAUAUAUGGGCGCGAAAUGGAACGAGGAUUUCAAAACUGAACACUACCAACAGAUACUCCACUUAUGUGGAAUUAGAUGUUACCGGUAAACUAGUGACAACGCUAACUAUACGUGACGUCAAAGAAGAAGAUCUGCAAUCAUUUGACUGUACCUUGGUCGAUAACCAUUUUAGGGACGGCCAUGAUCGGAUGACAGUCAUUCUCUCCCUAUCAGAGUCCAGAUGCCAUGUAUUUUAUAACAAUAGCUAUAUUGCUGCUGUUGUCAUAGUUCCUAUCGUUGUAUUUGGUAUCCUCUGCUAUUGCUGUUGCCGCUGGCGCAUUCAAUACUUUUUGAAGAAGAAAAGCCUAAAAGAAAGAGGAGUCAACAAAGAGUGGGACGCCCUACUUUGGCAUGAUAAUGAACACUCCAAAGAUGCCAGUAAUCUGCUAGCGGCACUGGAGGGCAUGCGCUACCGGGUUUGCACUAAGGAAGACAGAACUUGUGGCUCUAAACUAGAUUGUUUGGAGGCACUGAUCGAUUCAAGCGCAUGCGUAAUUAUUCUUAGAAAGGAUGACGGAAAGAUGAUGACGAUUCUGGAUAAAGCUCAAGAAAAUCAGUCAGUUAUCCUUAUUCAGACCAAGUCACAGAGUUUUAAGGAAAAGGUAAACCAUUUAAAGUGUAAGUUUCUGUGUCAUACAAGAAGAAACAACCUUUCACAGAGUAAAGGGGGGCUGAAUAAAUCCAUGGCCGGCUUCCUGAAACUCUACUGGCCGUCACACGACGCAAAUGUUAAUUGCUGUGCAACACUCCGCCGAGCCGAGUUUUAUUACAGGUUAAGAUUGAAACUGCCGAAAUCAGGCGCUAACGUCGAGUUGGGAAACAUACAAAUGCAGUGAUAAAAUGCAUUCCAGUAUAGUUUAAGUGAUCAUUAUUCCCAAAGGUGAGUGUAACUUGGAAGAUGCACUGUGCAUGUAAUAACCUUUAAGUUUGCAUUUAACACCUGGGAUUUGGUUAUUUUUAUCCUUAAAUUGCUUCGAUCGGCGUAUCAGUUUUGUGCAAUUGUCCAUUAAGAAGUAGGACUGAGAUAUAAAGUUUCUCGGAUUUAUCUUCCCUCCAAUAUUUUUCCGGUGCUUGUGUGUUGCCAAUUAUAUACUAAUAAAGUGCCUAUACCACUGCAUAUUACAAUACAGAUGGACGGAGAAUCAGUGUGCCUUGAACAUGUGUAUGGAUCUGGUUUACCAAUGGAUUGAUGUCUGUAGAAUGCAUAUGAUCAUUUCUACAAGAUUCUUUGAUAUAGUGAAAAUACUUUAAACUGAGAAUGGAAGGUCAUGCUUGACAAUGCCUUGGGUUCUUGGAAGGACGUUUGUUAAUCAUACAUGCAUGAAAAGGCAUGACGAUAUAAAUAUUCUUAGACUAUAAAAUACAAAUUUUUUAGCAUAAUUUGAAAAAUAAACCAGCACCUUUUUCAUUUGAUUGUAUCUCAUUUAGUCAUAAUAAUGCAUUCCUAAUUACAUGUUUAUAUGUAUAAAAUAUUAUAUAUGUUAACAUAGAUGUAUAUGGGUUUUUUGUCCUUUUUAAUAAGUCCAAAAAAAUUAAUCCUUUCGAGCUGUCAAAUUUAUUUUGUAAUAAAAUGCAAUAAUUUGCACAAUU
rnacentral:misc_RNA from 1 species